AACGAACGCUGGCGGCAUGCCUAACACAUGCAAGUCGAACGAGACCCCUGACUUCGGUUGGCGGGUCUAGUGGCGCACGGGUGCGUAACGCGUGGGAAUCUGCCCUUGGGUUCGGAAUAACUCAGAGAAAUUUGAGCUAAUACCGGAUGAUGACGAAAGUCCAAAGAUUUAUCGCCCAGGGAUGAGCCCGCGUAAGAUUAGCUUGUUGGUGGGGUAAUGGCCUACCAAGGCGACGAUCCAUAGCUGGUCUGAGAGGAUGAUCAGCCACACUGGGACUGAGACACGGCCCAGACUCCUACGGGAGGCAGCAGUGGGGAAUAUUGGACAAUGGGCGCAAGCCUGAUCCAGCAAUACCGCGUGUGUGAAGAAGGCCUGAGGGUUGUAAAGCACUUUCAAUAGGAGGAAAAAGUAAGGUUUAAUACGUCUGCUCUUGACAUUACC
rnacentral:rRNA from 1 species